rnacentral:rRNA from 1 species
AUGGCAUCGGCAGCGUUUAAUGGGAGCGCCAUAGAUUCCACUGCUGCUCGCUGCAAACUAUUCAUCAGUUCAUUGGUCACGACAAUUGUUGCGGUGAUAAGAAACCCAACUCAUCCCCCGCCUAGCCAGAUUGAGUGCCCAAACUGCAAAUACCACAUUGAUGUCUUAUCACAGUGGCCAGGACUCCCCGCAGGUGUUAAAUUUGAUCCAACUGGUCUCGAACUGCUUGAACAUUUAGAAGGAAAGGUUGGUAGGGCACCGUCCCAUGACCUAAUAGAUGAUUUUAUUCCAACCACAGAGGAGGCUGAAGGAAUCUGCUAUACACAUCCUGAAAAUCUCCCUGGUAUCAAGAUGGAUGGGAGAAACAACCAUUUCUUCCACAAAGUAUCAAAUGCAUACGAUGUUGGCCAGCGCAAACGUCGCAAGAUUAGCAACAGUGACCAUGUUGUUUGUGAUGUGCAUUUCAGAUGGCACAAAACUGGAAAAUCCAAAAAAAUCUUAGAUAAUAACGGUGUCAUAAAAGGGUGGAAGAAAAUAUUGGUUCUUAUGAUGCGUUCUAGGAAAGACGGUAUCACCUCGCGUACAAAAACUAAUUGGACGAUGCAUCAGUAUCACCUUGGGGUAGAUCAAGAUGAAAAGCACGGGGAGCUUGUUGUUUCCAAAGUCUUUUAUCAGUCAAAGAAAGAUGAGCAGUCUGUAAUGUGCCUUGUUAAUGAAGAAUCCGAUCCAUUUGCUGGGAAAAUCGAUCCUACAACCCCAAUGACAUACCCUCCGCAGCCUCGUCCCCCAAACAGUAGCCCAUCCAGAACCGAGAAGAAUCAGGAAGAGCAUGUAGCGCUAUCUGGCCCGGAUGAACGCCCGUCACGUGGUGCAACCCCGGACUCCGUGUACCCUGAGAUGCAACCUUUUCCUCUUGGCCUGGACGCUCUCCAGGGGUUGCCCGACCCCAAAAUACCUCUGGGUUUCUCCCAUAUGGCCUCUUGGUUCGCUGGAACCUCAUCGCAUUCGAAUGCCCUGGAGGAUGCACCACUGUCUUGCCUGGAUGAACGCCUGCCACACGGCGGAACCCUAGACGCCGCCUACCCUGACCCUGAGGGGCAAGCCCUACCUCUUGAUGCGGAGGCGCUCCAGGGGCUCCCCGACUUCGGAACGCCUUCGAAUAUCUUCCCCCAGGACUUGCAGUUCGGGUCGCAGGACAUCUUCUGGGGGGAGGGGUUUUGA